GGGAAUGGGGGGAUGUGGGCUGCAUCCAAGUCGCUGCCCCCCACGCCCUUCCAACCUCCGUCACAGCUAUUCUCGGCCAGUUUGCGCGGGGACUUGCUGAUCUCCCUUCAGCCGGCCCCGGGGUCUGCGGGAGGGGACUGGGUGGGGAGGGAGACUUAAGGGCGCUGGCGGCUGUCGUUCCGGUCGCUGAGAGUCUGCCCCACAGCUCCAGUUUUUCCAAGUGAGUUCAGCCUCCCCGCUUCCAGAGCAUCCCCCGCCAAAAAUAAGAUAUCGUCUCAGCUAGUAGGCAGUCCCCCCUCACCACUUCUUUCACUCCCUCUUCAGUGCCUUUCCUCUCACACCCCGGAGCCUCUCACACACAAAGCAGAUGGGAGAUUGGAGACCCGAGUUUAGCCAGGGAUGGGAUUUAACAAACUCCUAGGAAGCCUUGAUUCCCAGGGAAGAAUGGCAGUGACCCCGCACGGAUUGGGGACCCAGUCAGGCAGCUCAGAAAGAGGGUCAUUGUACAAACAGAUGUAAAGACUCACUAACAUGUGUGAACCUGUCUGUAAGUCUGGAAGGAAUCCAGUUUCAACCAAUUGGUGUAUCAAAAAAAGAGGCCAUCCCAAUGUUGGUUUAUGUUUAUUUUCCACUGACCCUAUGAGUGAAGAUAUCCUUGACCAUGAGUCCAUCUGAAUAUGUUCCAGCUCAUCCGACGUUCCACCACCAUGUUAAGAGAUAUGGAGAUUUCCACAAGGAUUUGGAGAGGAGCCCCAGUAGUUACUAAAAUUCUGCAUUAGAUCUGUCAGGAAAGAUAGAUGGACUUCAAGGCAAUUGCCCAACAAACUGCCCAAGAAGUUUUAGGUUAUAAUCGAGAUACAUCAGGCUGGAAAGUGGUUAAAACUUCAGUGCACACCACCACACCUGACUAAUUUUUAUAUGUUUUUGUAGAGAUGGGGUUGCCCAGGCCAGUCUCAAACUCCUGAGCCCAAGCGAUCUGCCUGUCUUGGCUUCCCAAAGUGCUGGGAUUACAGGUGUGAGCCACUGUGCCCAGCCUACUUCCUCAUUUUAAAUAUGCAUUUUUUUCUGUAUGCUUCUUUUAAAUAUACUUUUAAGGAUAAAAUUAUUUCAAAUACAAGUACACUAAGGGAAAGUAUAUUGACUUUUUUUAGCUUAAUCUUUCAGAGUUCAUUUAUUGCUCAUGAUAGUACAUCAGGGCCAUCAGAUCAUCAAAUUUUAUUCAAUUCCUUUUCUUUUGGAGUCCACUCCUUCUUUCAACUACCUCAUUUUAUGUUUCUUGCUUUUUUAAAAUUUCAAUAAAAUUUACCUAUAUUAUAUUUCAGCCCAAUUUUUUACCAUUGGACAAAGCUGAUAUGCUUUCUCCCACUCACUUUAACAAUGAUCAGGAAAAUAAUCCCUACCUUAUUGAAAUAAUGGUUCUAAUACAGGCACUUUCAAAAAUAAACAGGGAGGAGUGGGUAUGGUCAAGCCUAGGUACACUAGGGGAAUUAACUUUUGGAUAAUUUGGCUUUUUGGUAUCUUACAGAUCAGACCAGUGUAGACAGCAACCUUGGCAUUUUUUAAAAGCUUGGAAGUUAUUUAUUUAGUCUACAAGUAAUUAUUGAGUAUUUAUUUAGAGAGUGCUAUACAAAUGCCUAGAGCCAAAGAAUAGGUUCUGUUAAGCUGUUCUAAAGCUUUACUGGAAAUUUUCAUCAGAGAUAUUUUACUCUUACAUGCAAAACUAAACAAUUGGUACUUUUUGCACUCACAGUUUGAGUGAAAUUUAUAUGCACUGUAUACUAGGUAUUUAUUGGUGCACAACAAAUUAUCCCAUAACUUAGCUACUUAAACAUUUAUUAUCUUAUGGCUUCUCUGGAUUAGGAAUCCAGGAACAGCUUUGCUAGGUGCCUCUGCCUCAAGGAAUCCACAAGGCUGUAAUCAAGGUGUCAACAGGGCUUAGGUCUCAUCUGAAGACUCAACUGAAGGAGGCUAUGCUCCAAACUCACUCACAUUGUUGUUGGCAAGAUUCUCAAGUAGCUGGGACCACAGGCUAGUUCUUUGAAAAGAAAAAAAUGGCAGACCAUUAGUAAGAUUAACCAAGAAAAGGAGAGAAGAUCCAAAUAAACUCAAUUAGCAAUGAAAUGGGAGAUAUUACAGCCAAUACCACAGAAAUACAAAAAGAUCAUUCAGGGCUACUGUGAACACGUUUACAUGCACAAGCUAGAAAAUCUAGAGGAGAUCGAUAAAUUCUGGGAAAAAAUACAACCCUCCUAGAUUAAAUCAGGAAGAAAUAGAAAAUC
rnacentral:lncRNA from 1 species